GGCACAGAACAUUUCAAGGGGGGUGGCUAGAGGUGCGAGGGAGGCCAGCGGACAACAUCAGAUGGCAGGAACAGCGCGCACCAGUACAGUUCAUGCUGGGGCGGCGCACGUGGGGCACUCAGCCGGGCAGAACCAUUAGCGGGUGGUCAUGGCGAAGCCUCCCUGAACCAGCAGAGCCACUGACCAGAAGCCUCCAGCCUGCAGCGGAAAAGAGCGGCAGCCGCCAGGAUCAGGCACAGCAUGGCGGCCAGACAACGACAACAGGCGCAGGCACCCAAAAGGAACAACCGCACAUAGCCAAAUAUACCUACUGCCAACUGCAGGAGAAAUUUUAGAAGACAGUUUUGUAUUAUUUUGAGUAUCCACUUAAACAUUUUUCUAACACUGAAUUAAAAGAUAGAAGGGUUCAAUUAAAAUGAGUAAAAAAACCUAGAACACCGCACCAGAUGCGGCAGGAGGCUGGGAGCCAUGCAUAGGCUUGCGAGCAAGGAGCCACCGAGAGGAACACGGAGGGCGCGACGCAGCGCCCAGGUGUCGCAGGCAAUGGAGACACAGCACCCUCCGCGCAUGCAUAGCUGUCUCAAGCACGUGACAGGCCGGCACAGAAUGUGUCAUUCGGCACAUGCCCCGAGCUCGCCUACAGGCAUCGGCUGCUCAAGGCUAGUAUAGAAGUUCCAAAGAGUUACUCUCAAGCCAAC
rnacentral:lncRNA from 1 species